rnacentral:rRNA from 1 species
GACGAACGCUGGCGGCGUGCUUAACACAUGCAAGUCGAACGGAAAGGCCCCUUUGGGGGUGCUCGAGUGGCGCACGGGUGAGUAACACGUGAGUAACCUGCCCUUGACUUCUGGAUAACUUCAGGAAACUGGGGCUAAUACCGGAUAGGAAUCCUUGCUGCAUGGUGGGGGUUGGAAAGCUUCGGCGGUUUUGGAUGGACUCGCGGCUUAUCAGCUUGUUGGUGGGGUAGUGGCUUACCAAGGCUUUGACGGGUAGCCGGCCUGAGAGGGCGACCGGCCACAUUGGGACUGAGAUACGGCCCAGACUCCUACGGGAGGCAGCAGUGGGGAAGAUUGCACAAGGGGCGGAAGCCUGAUGCAGCAACGCCGCGUGCGGGAUGACGGCCUUCGGGUUGUAAACCGCUUUCAGCAGGGGCGAAGCUUGUGGUGACGGUACCUGCAGAAGAAGCACCGGCUAGCUACGUG